GGAUGGGGUGUACGGGUAGCACGAAGAAUUUUGAAUUCUUAGGUGUAGGUUCAAUUCCUAUUGUCCUAG
rnacentral:tRNA from 1 species